rnacentral:rRNA from 1 species
GAUGAACGCUGGCGGCGUGCUUAACACAUGCAAGUCGAACGAUGAAGCCCAGCUUGCUGGGUGGAUUAGUGGCGAACGGGUGAGUAACACGUGAGUAACCUGCCCUUGACUCUGUGAUAAGCCUGGGAAACUGGGUCUAAUACCGGAUAGGAACGUCCACCGCAUGGUGGGUGUUGGAAAGAUUUAUCGGUCAUGGAUGGACUCGCGGCCUAUCAGCUUGUUAGUGAGGUAAUGGCUCACCAAGGCGACGACGGGUAGCCGGCCUGAGAGGGUGACCGGCCACACUGGGACUGAGACACGGCCCAGACUCCUACGGGAGGCAGCAGUGGGGAAUAUUGCACAAUGGGCGAAAGCCUGAUGCAGCGACGCCGCGUGAGGGAUGACGGCCUUCGGGUUGUAAACCUCUUUCAGUAGGGAAGAAGCGAAAGUGACGGUACCUGCAGAAGAAGCACCGGCUAACUACGUGCCAGCAGCCGCGGUAAUACGUAGGGUGCGAGCGUUAUCCGGAAUUAUUGGGCGUAAAGAGCUCGUAGGCGGUUUGUCGCGUCUGUCGUGAAAGUCCGGGGCUUAACCCCGGAUCUGCGGUGGGUACGGGCAGACUAGAGUGCAGUAGGGGAGACUGGAAUUCCUGGUGUAGCGGUGGAAUGCGCAGAUAUCAGGAGGAACACCGAUGGCGAAGGCAGGUCUCUGGGCUGUAACUGACGCUGAGGAGCGAAAGCAUGGGGAGCGAACAGGAUUAGAUACCCUGGUAGUCCAUGCCGUAAACGUUGGGCACUAGGUGUGGGGACCAUUCCACGGUUUCCGCGCCGCAGCUAACGCAUUAAGUGCCCCGCCUGGGGAGUACGGCCGCAAGGCUAAAACUCAAAGGAAUUGACGGGGGCCCGCACAAGCGGCGGAGCAUGCGGAUUAAUUCGAUGCAACGCGAAGAACCUUACCAAGGCUUGACAUGUUCUCGAUCGCCGUAGAGAUACGGUUUCCCCUUUGGGGCGGGAUCACAGGUGGUGCAUGGUUGUCGUCAGCUCGUGUCGUGAGAUGUUGGGUUAAGUCCCGCAACGAGCGCAACCCUCGUUCCAUGUUGCCAGCACGUAAUGGUGGGGACUCAUGGGAGACUGCCGGGGUCAACUCGGAGGAAGGUGGGGACGACGUCAAAUCAUCAUGCCCCUUAUGUCUUGGGCUUCACGCAUGCAACAAUGGCCGGUACAAUGGGUUGCGAUACUGUGAGGUGGAGCUAAUCCCAAAAAGCCGGUCUCAGUUCGGAUUGGGGUCUGCAACUCGACCCCAUGAAGUCGGAGUCGCUAGUAAUCGCAGAUCAGCAACGCUGCGGUGAAUACGUUCCCGGGCCU